GGACGGGUGGUGGAAUUGGCAGACACGCAGGAUUUAGGAUCCUGUGGGGUAAAACCUGUGCGGGUUCAACUCCCGCCCCGUCCACAA
rnacentral:tRNA from 2 species